UACGUAGGUGGCAAGCGUUGUCCGGAUUUAUUGGGCGUAAAGCGUGCGCAGGCGGUUUGUCAAGUCAGAUGUGAAAGCCCCGGGCUCAACCUGGGAAUGGCGUUUGAAACUGGCAGGCUAGAGUUUGGCAGAGGGGGGUGGAAUUCCACGUGUAGCAGUGAAAUGCGUAGAGAUGUGGAGGAACACCGAUGGCGAAGGCAGCCCCCUGGGUCAAGACUGACGCUCAUGCACGAAAGCGUGGGGAGCAAACAGG
rnacentral:rRNA from 1 species